CCUGUACUGAGGUACACUUACACAGAGUUAUAAUGUUCAUUUGAACCAUGUUUAGUGUAUGCUAUUUGUUGUCAUCUUGACACAUUGUCAAACUGUAACCAAAAAGUUUGUAGAUCACGGUUGCUAUCGCAGCAGGUUCACUCGAGGGCUGGUACAGGAAAGUGGUCUAGCUGUUGUUGGGACACGUGACUGAGAAAAGACUGCGGCGAUCUGUUUUGACACGGGACAUUUCUAGAGAGAGGGGAAGAGAGCACACAAAACGAGUUUAUGGAUAAGAAAGAGCACACAAUAUAAUUUAGUUGCGAACGGUAUGCGCCUGUACUGUGUUAUUGAGUUGGACGAAGUUCGCUAGCCAGCGAACCGUUGAUUUGGAAGAAGGAAAAAAGCUCGCUAGCCACUGCGACAAGUUGGGAAAUAAAUGGUCAGCUUGUUUUCUGACAAACUUUUGAUAUGAGAGAAAGCUAGUCAACAAUAACUAGGUAACUGACACGAGACGUGGCUACUUUACCUCACUAUGUUUCAAGACGACAAGUGGAACCGAUGCUUCUGGACAACACGGCGUUUAGCUAACGUUGGCUGUUUUUCUGAAUGAUCGGGUGAAAUAGGUCUGUCCUUUACUCGAGCCCAUUGUUAUCGGAGGUGGAUCACUAGCUACCUGCGCGUUGGGGUGUUUUGUUUGAGAAGGUCGUCAUCAGAUCAGAUGCCUGUGUGUUGUUUGUUUGGUCAGCUAGCUAAAGCCACGUUAGCUAAGCCAAAUAGGUGAGGUUACAGGAGCACAGCAAGCUGAAAAAGAGAGAGAUGCUUCGUGACGGGACUACUGUCGUGGUUUUGGUGGUGGAAUUUGAGACGUUUAUUUUUGGGGGGUGGACAGCCAGAUUGUCAGCUCAAUGCCUUGUUGGCUAGCUAGGUGGUUGAUGAAGCAAUAACUCGGAGCUAAUCUAAUGUUUGACGGUCAGAUUUAGCUAGCUAGCUCAACUGUUCGUUGGCCAGUUAACAGUGGAUCUGACUCGAUGGACCUGUACAGUAGCAGUUUGGUAACAAAGCAUUGCUUUGUCGGGUAAAUUAGGGGGCGAUUGGCAGCAUACAGGCUACCCAGCUGGUAUUGUUGCUUAAUGCAAUAAGUCAGCAAUCCUUUGGAAGAUUUGGAUCCACACAGUCAGACACACAGCAGUAUAUUGCUGUCAGGGCUGUGUGGACGGGAGUCUUCAGACCGAAGACAGACAGACAGACAGAGGCUGCCGAGGCUGCCAGAUUCCCAGAGGGAUCCAGAUGACACUGGCUAACAUGAAACCAGAGCGAGAGGCAAGUCGAAGUUUGGAGCCGAAGUCUACACCCCUUCGUCAGGGAUUGGUCAACAGUAGGG
rnacentral:lncRNA from 1 species